rnacentral:lncRNA from 13 species
CAGAAGCUGAGGGUAGAGCUGGCUCCUUCCUUCAAUCUCAGGGAGGAAACAGCACCCUUGGAGAUACAAAUACAUUUUAAAAAUAAAAAAGGAACCAGAUGCUGAAGCAGAACAUGAGAGUAGACAUGGAACGUGACCACUGAAGCAUCUCAUAGAGACAGCUAUCCUUUAGGAAGCUCCAUCAAUAUGGCCAAGAUUUGCACCUAAAGCGUCUCAGAGUCAAAACUUGAAUGCUUACUUAUUUUGGAAACCAAUAUUCACCUCCCAGAGAGCUCCUGAAGUCACACUUCACAAGAAGCCUAGGUGAGCCACAAACGAGAAGCUUGUAAGGCUCUCACGGUGUCACCUUCCAAGAAUAUGCAGACCCAUGAAGAAACCCAGAUGCUUCAAUUCUUGAAGAUGUCAUGUGGCUUGUAAGAUUCAAAGGGCUGUUUAAGUCUUUAAUCCAUCUGGAGUUAAUUUUAGUGUGAGGUGUCAGGAAGGGGUCCAGUUUCUGCUUUCUGCACAUGGCUAGCCAGUUUUCCCAACACCAUUUGUUAAACAGGGAAUCCUUUCCCCAUUGCUUGUUUUUGUCAGGUUUAUCAAAGAUUGUAUAGUUGUAGAUAUGUUGUGUUGCCUCCGGUGCCUC